AGCCAAGUGGUCAAGAGGACAUUAAUGGUCAGGCAGCACAACUAGCAAGACAGAGCUACUUCGUCUAAGUAUCACUCUACACUGAUUUCAGACCCAUAAUGUUCUUCUACAUUGUGCUACACCUUUUCUUCUGGUUACUUCUUGCUAAUACAGUGGAUACUAAUUCUUCAGAGAACAGCUUUUAUCCCUGCGUGUAUUCUGCCAAGGAGUAUGCUUAUGAGAAUUUCCUGAAUAAGCAUGUACGUUCCGAUGCCCCAAAAACCCUUGACCAAAACCAGUGGCAAGCAUUUAUUAGGCAAAUAGGGACAUGUGAUCGACCAGUUCAGUCCUUUAUCCCCUUCACCCAGAAACAACGAGUGGACAACGUCUGCUCUCCUUCAGGAGGUAAAACGUACAGGGAUGACCUGUGUGUCAGCAAACAGGAGUUCACCUUCACGACUGUCUUUGUGGACAACAACUGUGUCGUAUACAGAGUCACCCCAGAGAAGAAGUAUCUUUUACUGGCUUGUAAUGAGAUCCAGGGUUACUGCCUUCCAGUGCAUUUUGAACCCAAUCCAUAUAAUGAUGGACCAGACAGCAGAAACCCAGACUGCAAGAAUCCAUAUUCUCUGAACCGGGCACAGUUUGUGAGUCUUAAUCUCACCCUUUUAAUCCUCACAUUGCUAUCAACACCCUUAGCCCACUUUACAUAAUCAUCUGAAUGAUUUACUUGAUAUGGUCUUAAGGAUUUAAAAAGAAAAUAGCCUCAUGCCAAUGAAACAGUAACACUUGCUGUGACUCCCUUCCGUGUAAUCAAAUAUGAGUUUGUGUGUGAAGUGAUCGAAUCCAAUUAGUGCAUAUUUGCUCAUGACUGGGUAUUAACUGUAAUACUGAUCUUAGAAGCCACAUCACUGUAUUAACUCUUGCCUGAUAAUCACAGUAUAAUAUAUGUAUAAUAAUAAAUAGAUUACUAUAUGCAGCCAACUGUCUAUGCUUACCAGAUAUGACAGAAUUGUUAACAUUUCUUUUAUUUGUCAGCAAAUUAAUCAUAGGAGCUUGUGCUUGUUUAUUUUAUAUCAAUUUUUUUUUUGUCUAACACUUGUGAUUUAUUUGUCUUACUAAUAUUUGUGCGAACAAACAAGCCAAUAUACGUAAAUUGCAGUCAUUGUUUACUGUAAAUGUUGUGCAAAUGUUCAAAGGAAUGUGAUUACAAAGACAUGGGCACAUUGUUAAACUUAAAUACAGUUACAGUUUUAUUGCAA